rnacentral:rRNA from 1 species
GSRSGAUUAUCGGAAUUACUGGGCGUAAGCGCGCGUAGGUGGCUAAGUCAGCCAGGUGUGAAAGCCCCGGGCUYAACCUGGGAACGGCAUCUGGAACUGCUUGGCUAGAGUGCAGGAGAGGAAGGUAGAAUUCCCGGUGUAGCGGUGAAAUGCGUAGAGAUCGGGAGGAAUACCAGUGGCGAAGGCGGCCUUCUGGACUGACACUGACACUGAGGUGCGAAAGCGUGGGUAGCAAACAGGAUUAGAUACCCUGGUAGUCCACGCCGUAAACGAUGUCAACUAGCCGUUGGGUCCCUUGAGGACUUAGUGGCGCAGCUAACGCAAUAAGUUGACCGCCUGGGGAGUACGGCCGCAAGGUUAAAACUCAAAUGAAUUGACGGGGGCCCGCACAAGCGGUGGAGCAUGUGGUUUAAUUCGAUGCAACGCGAAGAACCUUACCUACCCUUGACAUCCAGAGGACUUUCCAGAGAUGGAUUGGUGCCUUCGGGAACUCUGAGACAGGUGCUGCAUGGCUGUCGUCAGCUCGUGUUGUGAAAUGUUGGGUUAAGUCCCGUAACGAGCGCAACCCCUAUCCUUAUUUGCCAGCGAGUAAUGUCGGGAACUCUAAGGAGACUGCCGGUGACAAACCGGAGGAAGGUGGGGACGACGUCAAGUCAUCAUGGCCCUUACGGGUAGGGCUACACACGUGCUACAAUGGCAAGUACAAAGGGUUGCAAUACUGCGAAGUGGAGCCAAUCCCAUAAAGCUUGCCUCAGUCCGGAUUGGAGUCUGCAACUCGACUCCAUGAAGUCGGAAUCGCUAGUAAUCGUGGAUCAGAAUGCCACGGUGAAUACGUUCCCGGGCCUUGUACACACCGCCCGUCACACCAUGGGAGUGGACUGCACCAGAAGUGGUUAGCCUAACCUUCGGGAGGGCGAUCACCACGGUGUGGUUCAUGACUGGGGUGAKCKCGARRGRARGGGAMAMAAAAAAA